rnacentral:lncRNA from 10 species
UAAUUCCUCCUGGGCCAUCUCCCAUGGGCUCUGGAUGGCCUGGAUACACAAGCUGGACACAGAAGACAGGCCUGAUGAGGAAACUGAGGGUCAGAGAGGGGAAACAACCUGCCCAAGGACCCCCAGCCAAAGAGCAGCAGGGCUAGGAUUCAAACUCAGGCAUGUCCUGUCUCCCUAAUCCAUGCCCAGGCAUAAGGUGAUGGAGCAAAGGAAAGCCC